CCAGUGCUUAUCACGGUGUCUGGCACAUAGUAGAACGCUCACUUAUUAUAUAUUAUAUUCUAUUAUUAUAUAUUUUAUAUAUUAUUUUUCUCAUAUAACCUUUAUUUGUUUGUUUGUUUGUUUGUUUCUAUGGCAGUGGGCUCAAGCUUUCCUGGUCACGCAGCCAAUGAGGUCAUAAUGGCUAGGCCAUUUCUCUAGGUAUGUGCGUCACCACCCUCGCUUUCUGAUUGGCUGGCAGUGGGGCGUGGCAACCCUUUAUAUUGGUUUCCAGGGCCACCAGCUUUCAGUUGGAGCUGAGGAGUCGGUGGGCUAGCAGGCUCGUGGGGAGGUCUCCAGAGGCAAGCCAAGCCGUUCCCUCCUGGCCCUGAGGAAGAAAAGUGAAGUGAAGAAACACCAACGCAAAAUAGCAUUAGUGAGUUCCUGGAGCAGUUAUUUUAAAAGACCGUUGAGUUUGGGUACAUUGGAGAUAUCUGCAAUUUUAAAGAAGUCAGGCAUUUGAAGAGAAAGAAUAAGUGGUAUGUACCAUCUUUGGGGUGGGCCUUGCAAGCAGGGUGAGUUCUGGGAACAGGAAAAGUGGGCCAGAAUCUAGGAAAAGGGAAAACCUGAAGGGUUAUAGGAAGUGAGACAUGAGUUGGCAUCACUUUGCUUAGUGCUGGGAGAAAGAUCAUUUACAUGAUCUUAUAAGAUAACUGCUCUCUGCCUAAAUCCAUAGGGCUUUAUUUCCCUUGGGAGUUUUCUCCUUUUCUUCUCCCAUGGUACUUCCCAGAGGGUCCCAUAAGACUCAAUGCAGGCUUCCAAGUUGACUUUUGAUUCUAGAGAAUCACUGGCU
rnacentral:lncRNA from 1 species